AUUGAACGCUGGCGGCAGGCCUAACACAUGCAAGUCGAGCGGAUGAAGGGAGCUUGCUCCUGGAUUCAGCGGCGGACGGGUGAGUAAUGCCUAGGAAUCUGCCUGGUAGUGGGGGAUAACGUCCGGAAACGGGCGCUAAUACCGCAUACGUCCUGAGGGAGAAAGUGGGGGAUCUUCGGACCUCACGCUAUCAGAUGAGCCUAGGUCGGAUUAGCUAGUUGGUGGGGUAAAGGCCUACCAAGGCGACGAUCCGUAACUGGUCUGAGAGGAUGAUCAGUCACACUGGAACUGAGACACGGUCCAGACUCCUACGGGAGGCAGCAGUGGGGAAUAUUGGACAAAGGGCGAAAGCCUGAUCCAGCCAUGCCGCGUGUGUGAAGAAGGUCUUCGGAUUGUAAAGCAAUUUAAGUUGGGAGGAAGGGCAGUAAGUUAAUACCUUGCUGUUUUGACGUUACCAACAGAAUAAGCACCGGCUAACUUCGUG
rnacentral:rRNA from 1 species